ensembl:lncRNA
GAGAAGCUGGGAUCUAUUAGUGAUGUCUGCCCGGGGGUGGGCGAGGAGAGUGACGGCAAGUGUGCCGUGUCUUUGCCGUUUAUGAACUGGUUGCAUUUGAAGGCCCCUCUGGCUCUGAUGGCUCAUGAACCAGUGAUUCUAAGCAAUUGGAAGGCUCCACCAUGUGUUUGGAUUUAACAAGGGCCAUAGCCAAGGAGAGAAGUGAAAGACGGUGGGGACAUCAAGGCCAGCUGGUUUCUGACUGGUGUAUCCAUUCUCCCGGGGAUGGAAACCACCUGCUUCUGCCUGCCUUCCCGGUUCACUUAGGUGGGAAUGCUCUCUGGCCCUAGUGUGACUCAGUCUGACCGGUAAGAUCGUUGGAUUUGCUUGGUGUGUGUAUGUGCUGAAAUGACGUGAAAUGAGGCUUUUGCUGGAACCGCUGUUAGAGAGAGGCAGCAUUCUUCCCACUGACUCCGAACCUGGGAGGUUGCAGCUCGGGGCUUCCUGCCACGAUGGGUUGCCUGAGAAUGAGGCCAAUACGAAGGAGCACAAAGUCGAGAUGACAAGAGGCUGCGUGAUAGAGACAUCUUCGUAGCCCCUGGAUCCAGCCCUGCCUGAUGUGGAUUCUUGGAUUGUUUUGCUUACAAGAGCCGGUAAUAUCUUUUCCGCUUAAGUCAGUUUGAGACUUAAAGGACACGCCUAGAAUUAAUCUCAGUGAAACAGCAAGUCCUUUUUUGUCCGUCUGUUGUGAAAGGAGCUCUGCGCUGGACUGGUUGGAACGCGCUGCAUGCCAGGCCCCCUCUGCCGCCCCUUCCUCUUAAGACUGCAUGGCAGAGGGGGCUGGUUCUGGAGGCCCUGGGGAACUCAGCCCCCUCCAGCCUCCAGAGGAUAACGGUCCCUGAACUGGUUCCCACCACGAGGGAUGCCUUCCCUGAGGGCUCCCCGGUGGAUAAGGAGACAAAGCAAACCAGGGGGGCCUGGACCUGCUCUGAUGGACCCGACUGCUGAGUUCAGGAAGGGGCUCCAGGGAGUAACGUGAGUGUAUUAUUAGUGCAUCAGAUUUGCACAUAGGAAAUGGAGGUUCACAGGAGUGAGUGGAUGCUUUCUAAUUCACCCAGCUUCUUAGGAGUGGGUUUCACCUCCUGGCCCCAGGCUCCAGUCUGCCUCCUCUUCCAUUUGCUCCCCUGCCAGAAACACCCCAAGUUUUGAUUCCUUAUAUCUUCAGCAGGAGAAAGGUUCUGAGUUUUGCUGUGUGGGGGCUGGGCAAGAUUCUGGCAGCAGCUGCCACACAUUGGAUACAGGCUAAGCUGCUUCCAUCGUGUCCAGCUCUGUGACCCUGUGGACUGUGGCCCACCAGACUCCUCUGUUUAUGGGAUUCUCCAGGCAGGAACACUGGAGCGGGCUGCCAGGCUCUCCAGGGGAUCCUCCUGACUCAGGGAUCAAGUCAGCGCCUCGUGUCUCCUGCAUUGGCAGGCGAGGUCUUCACUAUUAGCACCGCCUGGGGAGUCCUAGCUGCUCAGUAAUUGCUGAAUGUGUGCGUCAUUGGCCGAGAGAGUGCCUUUUGGUUUUCUCUGGGUUGUGUUCUAGUCUGUCUUUCCCCCAAAGCAGAGCCUGAAACAAAGUCUCCAGGGCAGAUGGUUCAUCGAGAAUGCUAUCCCAGGGUAGAGGUGAAGGGCAGGGGAGUGAGGCAGGGAGCGAAGGCCUGGUGGCCAGUCUCCCAGAUGGCCCCCAAUGAGCCUCGCCUCCUGGAAUUCAGAAUUUUCUCCCACACCGAACAGGACUGAUCUUUGUAAUGAUAAGAUGCUAGAGACUUGAGAGUCUAUGGCUUCUAAGACUUCAUAAGUGACACUGAGGCUCCCCACGUGCUCUCUUGGAUCACUUGUUUGGGGAAAGCCAGGGGCCACGUCAUGAGGAUGCUCAAGCAGUCCCCUGGGGAGGCCUGUUUGGUGAGGGACGCAGGCCUCCUGCCGACGGCCAGCCUGAACGUGCCCUGAGUGAGUGUAUCAUAUUGGAACCGGCUUCUCCAGCCACAGUCAAGCCUUCAGAUGAGCACAGCCCCAGCCAACAAACUGAGAGACCUCAAGCCAGAACUGCCUAGCUUCAGCUGCUCCCAGAUUUCGGGCUUACGGACGCUGAGAUGUUAAAUGUUUGUUGUUGUUUUAAGCCACUAAACCUUUGGAUAACAGAAAGUUUCCUUACUGAAUCGGUCAUUGCUGUGGGUGACUGAUUGCUUGAUUCCAAGGGACCUCUGAGAAGCUUGUAGAACAUGUCUCAAGACUGUCUGCCCAGGGGGAGAACGUUUACCCAGUGGCUUCCGUAUCCCACUGUCCAGAGGGUGCCUCCUGGGCACCGAUGCUCCCGCCCCUGUUGGUUGCACAGCUUUGGCAAAGGCCAUGAGUAUGAGGCU